rnacentral:rRNA from 1 species
AGAGUUUGAUUAUGGCUCAGGAUGAACGCUGGCGGCGUGCCUAACACAUGCAAGUCGAACGAAGCAUUUAAGACGGAUUUCUUCGGAAGGAAGACUUUUAUGACUGAGUGGCGGACGGGUGAGUAACGCGUGGGCAACCUGCCCCGCACCGGGGGACAACAGCCGGAAACGGCUGCUAAUACCGCAUAAGCGCACAGCUCCGCAUGGAGCAGUGUGAAAAAUUCCGGUGGUGCGGGAUGGGCCCGCGUCUGAUUAGCUGGUUGGCGGGGCAACGGCCCACCAAGGCGACGAUCAGUAGCCGGCCUGAGAGGGCGGACGGCCACAUUGGGACUGAGACACGGCCCAGACUCCUACGGGAGGCAGCAGUGGGGAAUAUUGCACAAUGGGGGAAACCCUGAUGCAGCGACGCCGCGUGAGCGAAGAAGUAUUUCGGUAUGUAAAGCUCU